AGAGACAGAAUAGCAGGGGGAGAGAAUAGCAGGGGGAGAGAAUAGCAGAGAGUGAGAGAAUAGCAGGGGGAGAGAAUAGCAGAGAGUGAGAGAAUAGCAGGGGGAGAGAAUAGCAGAGAGUGAGAGAAUAGCAGGGGGAGAGAAUAGCAGGGGGAGAGAAUAGCAGAGAGGGAGAGAAUAGCAGAGAGGGAGAGAAUAGCAGGGGGAGAGAAUAGCAGAGAGUGAGAUAAUAGCAGGGGGAGAGAAUAGCAGGGGGAGAGAAUAGCAGAGAGUGAGAUAAUAGCAGGGGAGAGAAUAGCAGAGAGUGAGAUAAUAGCAGGGGGAGAGAAUAGCAGGGGGAGAGAAUAGCAGAGAGUGAGAUAAUAGCAGGGGGAGAGAAUAGCAGGGGGAGAGAAUAGCAGAGAGUGAGAGAAUAGCAGAGAGGGAGGGAAUAGCAGAGAGGGAGGGAAUAGCAGAGAGCGAGGGAAUAGCAGAGAGGGAGGGAAUAGCAGAGAGGGAGGGAAUAGCAGAGAGUCAGAGGAUAGCAGAGAGUGAGAGGAUAGCAGAGAGUGAGAGGAUAGCAGAGAGUGAGAGAAUAGCAGAGGGAGAGAAUAGCAGAGAGUGAGAGAAUAGCAGAGAGUGAGAGAAUAGCAGAGAGGGAAGGAAUAGCAGAGAGCGAGGGAAUAGCAGAGAGGGAGGGAAUAGCAG
ensembl:lncRNA